AGAACGCUGCAGCAGUACAACGUCUCGAUCUCAUUAGACAAUGUCACCUUUAGCAAUGAACAACCAUACACAGUGUACGACUCCGUUUGUCAACAGUGUGAUGUCACAGGACAAUGUCAUUUUAAGAAUGACGCCUGUUUAAGUGACGGAAACUGUUUCCAAUCAGGUUACCUGAAUCACGAGCACAAGAAAGUUUGUGACCCAUCUCGGUCACAGAAUUAUUGGUCAAGUCCAGAACUGGAUCAUUACACUGCCAUUAGCAAUGGCUGCCAAUGCCAACACGAGCAGUCCAGCUACAACUGUGCAUGCUGUAGAAACGGUGGCUGCCAAUGUCCGAAGAAUCCGAACAAAUGUGGCAACUGUCACCACUUAGACUGCUAAUAUAGCAACUGUAACCACUUAGACUGCUAAUGUGGCAACUAUCACCACUUAAACUGCUAAUGUGAGAAAUGUCAUCACUCAAGACUGCUUUAGUGACAUCUGUCUCCACCUAGAUUGCUUUGAUGUACCAUAAACUAUCUAAAAUUAAAUCUUAAUUUUCAAAUUUUAAUUGUC